rnacentral:lncRNA from 1 species
UCGCAUGCAAAAAAAAGUCAUUCUUUAGCGUAUGAUAUAAAAACACCAUUAAAGAUAAUCAAAGCUUGAUGUAAAAAUUUUUAUCUGCAUUUUGUAAUUGUCUUGACUAGCAGAUAUAAAAUUCUGUUAGGAAAAUAUUAAGGAGCUUGAAAAUCAAUUUUAAGGUUUUUUAGGUACAACAAUGCAUAUAAGCCAAUAUCAAGGUGCAUUCUCCAUGAAAAUUUGUGUGCCAAAUAAACGUUAUAGCAUGUGAAAUACACAUAUCAAGGNNNNNNNNNNNNNNNNNNNNNNNNNNNNNNNNAGGAAUGCCAAAUAAUUGGUUAUAAUAGUCAUACAAUUAUGGGUUUCCAUUGCUAAGCCUCAUCUUUGACCAAAUUAUGCUAAUAAAUAGUUGACCAAAUUAUGCUAAUAAAUAUUUAGGGUUGUAUAUAGAUGCAGUAUUCCUAUUUUUUUUUUUUUGAAGAUCAAAUAACAUAAAUUCAACCAGUAGAAAAUAAAGAUCACUGGAUUUCAAGACUGGCCUGAUAACAUAGAAUUUCAUAAAAUAAAGACUAUAACGUAACAAUUAGAAAAUUAAAGAUAAAGUUCAUAAACCAACAAGUAUAGUUGACGACACUCUCAAGAAGAAAGCCUGGGCAGCGAAAGGGAUACGAUGGUGCGUUCCUUCAUAGUCAAAGUCAAUGCCAAGACCACCUCUCAUCCUCAAAUUCUCAAUCAUGAGGUGAAAUGAAUCUCCCAGAAUCAAAUAGAUCUUUUUCAUUAAGACAACAUAGAACUAACCGGUGAAGAGAUAUCCAUCCAAACAAAAUGUCACAUCGGGGCAUUGUGAGGUAAUCACACUCAUAGCCUUGAGCUUGAGCGAUUCAAACUGAAUGGUAAAAUUGAGAUUUGAGAUCUGAUCCAAUAAAAUUUCUUCAAAUAAAUCAUAAUCAUGAUUAGCUUCUUCUCUCACUUUUCUCUCUUCCCACCCAAACAAGGCAACAACACAUAGCAAGGCAACAAUUCCCACCCAAAUAAGGCAACAACACAUAGCAAGGCAACAACACACACCAAGUUCUUCUGUGCUCAACUGUUACUUUCUCCUUAUCCUUGUUCUUCUUAAUUCAGAACCUAGAAUUCUCACCUCAAUAAUUCCCCACUCAUCUCUCUCCUGCUUCAAGAACUGUAUGCUAUAAUAAUUAUUGGUUCUUCUUGCGUUGUCAUAGGUCGCAUAUAUAACACAAUUUGCUUGAAGGCUUAAAU